GCCCGCUGAACGUCUUCUACUGGAGGCGAAUUCGGGCGCAGCGACGGGGGGCAGGGGCAACUAAGUUAUCCGGUUAAGAAACGUGCACUCGCACUGGACUCUGCUAACUGCUGACGACGGACUCCGCUUCUUGCCUGAGAGGGAGGAAGCACGAACGUUCUGUAUGUAACGAAAUGAGGACGACUGUUUCAAAGCUACUCAAAUAUUGUUGUGUUAAAGAGUAUUUACACUGAUCUCAUUGUAUCAUUUAGCUUCAAAGCUCAAAAUUCUGCUUUACUUAGAUAAGAGCUUGAAGUCCAAAUCUACACAAGUCAGAACCUAUGCAAGAAAAGCACCAUCGGUAGAAAUGAAUACACUUUGAAUGCCAUGGACCACCCUGUCUUCAGAGCAUGUCUGUUUGCUGACAUAGUUGGCUCCCUCAUAGCCCUUUAAAAAAUUGUCACGUAAAAAUGUGGGCGUUGCUGAAGGUUUUUAUUAAAAC
rnacentral:lncRNA from 1 species